ensembl:snRNA U6 U6 spliceosomal RNA
GUGCUGGCUUCAGCAGCACAUAUACUAAAAUUGGAACAAUAAAGAGAAGACUUGCAUGGCCCCUGCACAAGAAUGACACACAAAUUCAUGAAGUGUUCCAUAUAUAA